AGCUUUGCGCAGUGGCGAUAUCGUAACCAAUGAGGUUCUACCGAGGUGCGAUUAUUGCUAGUUGAAAACUUUUACCAAUGACUAAUGUAACGUUACAUUUUCGCGAUGCGAUUCGAUGU